UGGUGGGUAGUUUGACUGGGGCGGUCUCCUCCUAAAGAGUAACGGAGGAGCACGAAGGUUGGCUAAUCCUGGUCGGACAUCAGGAGGUUAGUGCAAUGGCAUAAGCCAGCUUGACUGCGAGCGUGACGGCGCGAGCAGGUGCGAAAGCAGGUCAUAGUGAUCCGGUGGUUCUGAAUGGAAGGGCCAUCGCUCAACGGAUAAAAGGUACUCCGGGGAUAACAGGCUGAUACCGCCCAAGAGUUCAUAUCGACGGCGGUGUUUGGCACCUCGAUGUCGGCUCAUCACAUCCUGGGGCUGAAGUAGGUCCCAAGGGUAUGGCUGUUCGCCAUUUAAAGUGGUACGCGAGCUGGGUUUAGAACGUCGUGAGACAGUUCGGUCCCUAUCUGCCGUGGGCGCUGGAGAACUGAGGGGGGCUGCUCCUAGUACGAGAGGACCGGAGUGGACGCAUCACUGGUGUUCGGGUUGUCAUGCCAAUGGCAUUGCCCGGUAGCUAAAUGCGGAAGAGAUAAGUGCUGAAAGCAUCUAAGCACGAAACUUGCCCCGAGAUGAGUUCUCCCUGACCCUUUAAGGGUCCUGAAGGAACGUUGAAGACGACGACGUUGAUAGGCCGGGUGUGUAAGCGCAGCGAUGCGUUGAGCUAACCGGUACUAAUGAACCGUG
rnacentral:rRNA from 1 species